CCCCUAGUAACUGCGAGUGAAGCGGGAAAAGCUCAAAUUUAAAAUCUGGCAGUCUUUGAUUGUCCGAGUUGUAAUCUAGAGAAGUGUUAUCCGCGUUGGACCGUGUACAAGUCUCCUGGAAUGGGGCAUCAUAGAGGGUGAGAAUCCCGUCUUUGACACGGACUACCAGUGCUUUGUGAUGCGCUCUCAAAGAGUCGAGUUGUUUGGGAAUGCAGCUCAAAAUGGGUGGUAAAUUCCAUCUAAAGCUAAAUAUUGGCGAGAGACCGAUAGCGAACAAGUACCGUGAGGGAAAGAUGAAAAGAACUUUGGAAAGAGAGUUAAACAGUACGUGAAAUUGCUGAAAGGGAAACGCUUGAAGUCAGUCGCGUUGGCUGGAAAUCAACCUUGCUUUUGCUGGGCGUACUUUCUAGUCAAUGGGUCAGCAUCAAUUUUGACCAUUGGAAAAAGUGUAGAGGAAUGUGGCAUCUUCGGAUGUGUUAUAGCCUUUGCUCGCAUACAAUGGUUGGGAUUGAGGAAUUCAGCAGGGAAAAAA
rnacentral:rRNA from 2 species